rnacentral:rRNA from 1 species
CCUACUUUGUUCCUCCUUGCGGCAUCUUGGUCAAUGGACGGAAGUCUGAACCAGCCAUGCCGCGUGCAGGAAGACGGCUCUAUGAGUUGUAAACUGCUUUUGUACAAGGGUAAACCUGAAUACGUGUAUUCAGCUGAAAGUACUGUACGAAUAAGGAUCGGCUAACUCCGUGCCAGCAGCCGCGGUAAUACGGAGGAUCCAAGCGUUAUCCGGAUUUAUUGGGUUUAAAGGGUGCGUAGGCGGAUUGAUAAGUUAGAGGUGAAAUGUCCGAGCUUAACUCGGGAACUGCCUCUAAUACGGUUGAUCUAGAGAGUAGAUGCGGUAGGCGGAAUGUAUUGUGGAGCGGUGAAAGGCUUAGAGAUCAUACAGAACACCGAUUGCGAAGGCAGCUUACCAAUCUAUAUCUGACUUUGAGGCACGAAAGCGUGGGGAGCAAACAGGAUUAGAUACCCUUGUAGUC